rnacentral:rRNA from 3 species
UACGAAGGACCCGAGCGUUAUCCGGAUUUAUUGGGUUUAAAGGGUGCGUAGGCGGAUUUACAAGUCAGUGGUGAAAUCUCCCAGCUUAACUGGGAAACUGCCAUUGAAACUGUUUAUCUUGAGUACAUUUGAGGCGGGCGGAAUGUGUCAUGUAGAGGUGAAAUUCUUAGAUAUGACACAGAACACCAAUUGCGAAGGCAGCUCGCUAAACUGUAACUGACGCUGAGGCACGAAAGCGUGGGGAUCAAACAGG